rnacentral:rRNA from 1 species
AUUGAACGCUGGCGGCAGGCCUAACACAUGCAAGUCGAGCGGAGCGGCGGACGGGGGAUUGAUGCCUAGGAAUCUGCCUGGUAGUGGGGGAUAACUCCCGGAAACAGGAGCUAAUACCGCAUACUUUAAGAUGAGCCUAGGUCGGAUUAGCUAGUUGGUGGGGUAACGGCCUACCAAGGCGACGAUCCGUAACUGGUCUGAGAGGAUGAUCAGUCACACUGGGACUGAGACACGGCCCAGACUCCUACGGGAGGCAGCAGUAGGGAAUAUUGGACAAUGGGCGAAAGCCUGACCCAGCCAUGCCGCGUGUGUGAAGAAGGUCUUCGGAUUGUAAAGCUCUUUAAGUUGGGAGGCGUUACCUACAGAAUAGGCAACGGCUAACUUCGUGCCAGCAGCCGCGGUAAUAC